UCAAUAGUUAUUAGUUAUUGAUGACAUUUGGGAAUAUAUCGAUAUCUCUUUCUGACUGUAAACAAAGCCGUUCUCCACCUCCUCUAACCUGAUUGGUUGUGAGGCAGACGCUGCUCCCCCGUGUCGUUCAGGAGCCCAAACAAAGUUAGCGUGCUACAAUAUCGGACAGUAGAAACCAACCAGAAAGUUCGGAAAAUUGUCUGAAUCCUCCUUUGGCCACGACUGCCGACACAAGCAAGAAAACAAAGUAAAUACCGGAGACUCUGGAGGAAUAACGGGCGCUUAAAACAGAGGUAGACCGGACAAGAGCUAAAAAGACGGGUCAACAUAAACGAUGGGGGACGCUUGGGGAUCUUGGUGACCCUGUAACCUUUCUGCUGGACAGGUAAACCGCUUUAACAAAGUAAGACAAGGAUUCUGAUUGGCUAACGUGGGCUUGAGCUUCUCGCUACACCGCCAACUACAGGUUUGUACACAGAUUAGUGUAAACGAAAACUUUUCUGAAAACGCAGUGGUGUGCACAGAAACGGAGAGGGUUAAAUGUCCGUUUAUGAAACUAUCCGGGCACGCGUAAACGUGGUCUAAGUCUGUCAGAGGUUCACAGCGAUUUGAAUUUUUCUCAUAUGUCCUGUAGCUUCAGAAAAAUGAACAUAUGACGAUUUUGACAACAAGAAAAACAUGAUUUCCAUCAGAGUGGGUCUUUAAGAGCAGAAACAGAGACACAGCUGAUGUAUGACUGCAGGUUUACACACAGUCAGGUCUGUUACACUGUGACUCCCACAGCUGCAGGUUUUAGUAAAAACAAAGACUCACAAUUCUGUAUUUGUGCAGAGAAUUAUCGUUCCUGUCUGACUGUGCACGUUUGUUUUCAUCAGCAUGUUUCUGUCUUUAUGUUGUGAAGGAAAGAAAGGCGGUUUUGUGUUUCUGUAAUCAGAGCAACCCUGAGAGUCAGGUGAUGGUUGUUUUCCCUGUUAUUGACGUGUGUGUAGAUUAUGACCCUUUCAUGUUAGUGUGAGUUCAUAUUUUUAUAGUUAAAGGUUCAUUCUUCUCACAGCUCCUCAGACAGAACAGAGAGGACUGAGCUGUGUUUCUAUAUUUGAUUCUCCUUUAGCUCUGUCGUUUUGAUUAUUUCACAUUUUUGUUUCAUUCAGGAGAAUAUUAAACCUUUUAAAGUCCUUUAAACCUUCAUUAUGUGGUUAAUGUGUGAGGAGGGGUCAAAGUUCCUCUGCAGCAGCCGUGAUAACCUCGCUCUCUCUCUCUCCUCAAAAACAAAAGAGUUAGCAGGAGUAAGUUAAGGAGAUAUCGCUGAGGGAGAGACCUCGCGUUAAACAAACAAGAGAACUUGGAAAACCAUUACUCAGGCGCUUUAGAGAAAGUUGGGGGAGAUUAAUCGCAGCCUCGGCACUUUUGUAAGCUUUGGGUUGAAUUAGCAGAAACACUGCGAGCCGCUCUGAUCUUCUCAUGAAAACUCACCAACAGCUGACACCAGCCCUCAUCACCAUGCAGCGUGUGGACGUACAUGGAAGUGAGACUGCAUGUUUGACUCCAUGCGUGUGUGUGUGUGUCCGUGUGUGUGUGUGUGUGUGUGUUCCUGACAGAAUGAGUCACAGUGUUUCUGCUCUGCUUUUAUCAAACCAUUUCUACAGAGAGUCUAAUGAGUCAAUACGUCUGUGCCGGCUUUACUGAAGUCCUCACUGAUCCUCCUGACAGCUGCUGAGGAGCUCAGAGCUUCAGGAAACAAACAGGAGGAUCUGCUUUUUAAAACCCCGACACACACACACACACACACACACACACACACACACACACACACACACACACACACACACACACACACACACACACGGACAAUUCUGUGAUAGAGGAGCCACGACGAUCACAGGAACAUGAGACUGUUUUAUGUUUUAUGUCAGUGAAGGAAACUGUGAGAAGAAAAGACCUGAGAUGAUUUUAAUCUGUAAUCUCAACCUCAUUCUGUCCAGGUGAUCAUCCCGCUCCUCAGACCGUCCUCAUACGUGGUCCUCGUCUUUCUUCUUCAGCACAUGGAAAAGAAAAAAACAACAAAAGCUCAGACUCUGCGGGACAUGAAGGGUUAAGAGAUCACGCUGUCGCUGUUUAAUAAACUCAGUUUGUUACGAACCCAAAUGAGAGUCGACCUCAUUUUGUGAGCAGCAGAUGGCGAGGUCACAGAGCGGUCUAUAAGAUGGUUUAUAUUUCUCACCUGAAGGGCGUCAGUCUCUGUUUCUCCUCCUCUGAUCCUGCUGAGGUUUUCAAACUGCAAAGUAAAAAAUAAAAAUAAAAAUUAAUCCAUAUUUUGGUCAUAAAUGCUCAGACGUCAGUAUUUGUCACAUAUUCUUUUUUAAGUUGCGUACUGAAUAUGAAGCCCUGGAAAUAUCUUGUUUAUUUGAUGGUUUAUCUUGUUUUUUCUUUUCAUUGCAGACCAGAAGAACAUAACAUGACAAACACAUGCAGAGAUCAUGGUUACUGCUGAAUCUGGAUGAGAAGAAGCAGCUUGACAAUCCUUCAUCUGAAGACAUGAGGAGAAAAAUCCAGUCAUGCCUGAAAGAUCUGAAGAAACAUCUACAGCCUCACCUCUGCAGGUACCAGAACUCAAGAGAAGCUGAAUCAGAGUCCAAGACCUGCAGAUGUCUCCUGUGGUCCACCAUGAAGGGUUCAGAAGGUCUGUAAAGGAGCUGGAGCCCCAGUAUGAACUUCCAUUAUGGUCGUAUUGAAGUCCAACAGGUCCAGCAGCUCUUCAGAACAAAGACCUCACACCAGCUGAGAACAUCUAACCCACCAUGGAUGGACUUCUGUUGAGGUCGUUUCACAGCGAAUAAUGAAGCGAAUAAUUCACUUUUUUUAUAACCUCAUAAAGUCAAUGUAAGCUUCAACAACAGCUCCGAACUUCCACAGAGAAAAAGGCGACUGUAAAUAUUUGCAGGCGAACCGCUAAACCUCCAAUCAGAAUACAAGCCGUUUCUCUGGUCCAGUCGUCUCUCUGUGAUCUGUCCUCUCCUUCUGCAAACGUGGAGUCAGCUGAUGGAGCAGUUCUUGAAACUGUCAGAGGAACAUUUUGAAGUAUUGUCAGAAUUUCUCAGGAUAUAAUUUCAGCUCCUGGAUCGUUGUGAAGCUCCACCCUCUCCUGCCGCCAAGGUCAGUCCUGGAUGUACCCAGACGCUCCGAUCCCCUCUGUUCUCCUGAGGUGAAUUCACGCCACAGACUCACAGAAUUUUAUUCACGUCACACGAGGUGGGUUCAGGAAAAGGUGCAAGAUGAAUAUUUCACAUUUUCACGGUGAGAUCCUGCUGUCACUGUCUGAUGUUCUCAGCUCGGGGUUCGGUUUAAGGUUUUCUGCUUUUCCCAUCACUUCACUAAUUCACCGGUUUAGAUCUCUAAUGUGAUUGGUCAAGAAAAACCGUCUUGAACUGGUCGGUCAGAUCUCCAGUCUGAGGAUUUCAUCAACCAGACUGUUUCUAUUCAAGGUCACUGGGGCUAAAACCUUUCCCAGCAUGCAUUGGAAAAACAUAGGGGACACAGUUACACCAUAGUCCACGCCACUGAGGAUCCCCGUCCGUCCAUCUGUCUGUUCGUCCGUCCAUCCAUCCAUCCAUCCAUCCAUCCGUCCAUCCAUCCAUCCAUCUGUCCAUCCAUCCAUCCAUCCAUCCGUCCAUCCAUCCGUCCAUCCAUCCAUCGAUCCAUCCAUCCAUCCAUCCGUCUAUCCAUCCAUCCAUCCAUCCGUCUAUCCAUCCAUCCAUCCAUCCAUCCAUCCGUCUAUCCAUCCGUCCAUCCAUCCAUCCGUCCAUCCAUCCGUCUAUCCAUCGAUCCAUCCAUCCAUCCAUCCGUCUAUCCAUCCAUCCAUCCAUCCAUCCGUCUAUCCAUCCAUCCAUCCAUCCAUCCAUCCGUCUAUCCAUCCGUCCAUCCAUCCAUCCGUCCAUCCAUCCAUCCAUCCAUCCGUCUAUCCAUCCGUCCAUCCAUCCAUCCGUCCAUCCAUCCGUCUAUCCAUCCAUCCAUCCAUCCAUCCAUCCGUCUAUCCAUCCAUCCAUCCAUCCAUCCAUCCAUCCGUCUAUCCAUCCAUCCAUCCAUCCGUCUAUCCAUCCGUCCAUCCAUCCAUCCGUCCAUCCAUCCGUCUAUCCAUCCAUCCAUCCAUCCAUCCAUCCGUCUAUCCAUCCAUCCAUCCAUCCGUCUAUCCAUCCGUCCAUCCAUCCAUCCGUCCAUCCAUCCGUCUAUCCAUCCAUCCAUCCAUCCAUCCAUCCAUCCGUCUAUCUAUCCAUCCAUCCAUCCAUCCAUCCAUCCAUCCGUCCAUCCAUCCGUCCGUCUGUCCGUCCAUCCAUCCAUCCAUCCGUCCAUCCGUCCUCAGACAGAAUAAAUAGAUUUUUCUAACAUAAGUGUCGUCGGCUCGCUCUUUUUCCCUGUUUUUAAACUCACUGAGAGACAAAUGAGGGAAAAUCCCGAGGACUGAUCCGCAGACCGGGUUCGGAUCCGACCCUGCAGCUGCUUUGUUACUUACAGGAGCUGGAACCAAAACAAAGCUGACCUUUUCCCCUGGACCAGAAGAGACCUGGUACCAGAGCCAGCUCCAGGACUCCCAAACAGGGACUUUGAAACACCAGGACAUUUGUUUUCUGAGCUGACACCGAGCUGUAGGCCUUCUAUUGACGGGGGACCGGGUCAGAACAGGACCGAGUCUGAGUCAUGAGAGAGGAAUGAAGAGGAGAAACCGCAGCGUGUCAAUAUUUAAAGUCUGUCAUUGUUUAUUAUGUAAGAAGAAUAUGCAAAAGAGAGUUGUGGCGGAGCGGAUCAGCGAGUACAGACGCCAACAUUUCCCAGAGCGAAGACUUUCAUCUUACGUAACUUCUUCUACAUUUUGGGUCUGCGUCUGUUUUGAUCGUCGCACAGCUGCAGGAAGGUUUCUCCUUCUUCAUGUAGACUUUGUGUUUCCACUCAUGAAGAGUUUAUGUUAAAGCUUAGAGACUUGAUAAGAGGAUAAAGACAAAGAAGAAGAGUUUUCAUUUAGACAUCAGGAAACUGACAAACAUCUCGUCUGAAUCAUGUGAAAAAAAACUCUGUUGACAAGUUGUCGAUAAGACCUGGAGCUCAAAGGUCGUCGGUGGAGAUUAAUUAAGCUCUUGACAUUUUCAUGAGGAACAUAAUGAUUCAGCUCGUUGGUGCGCACGCCUCAGGAAGGUCGAAUCAACCGAGAUGUGAUGUAAAGGAUGUGAAGACGGGAGAAAAGUUCACAGGUUCGAGCUUUUUCCUACAGAAGUUGAUGAUGAGCUUCAGAUGAAUGUUUUAAGUGGACUAAAGAAACACACACACACACACACACACACACACACACACACACAUACACACACACACACACACAGUGAACCACCCGCCUCGCUGUUCAAAGUCGAUCCAAAAGUCCAGAGAUCAGAAGUUCUCGACUCUGCAGCGUCUCAGAAAAGAAAAGGCUCUCAGACGCCCGUGGAGCGGCUCCGGUCGGCCUGAAGCAGCAACAGCAUGAAAAGAGUUUCCUCCAACCUCACAGUCAGUCUGAUAUCACACAGUUAGACUUAUUUUAUACAGUUUAUAUAUUUACCCUCAGCACAAAACCACAAGAAACUACACAGACAUGCAAACGACGAAAACGAAAGCAGAUACAUCCGUGAAGAUUUACUGAACACUCAGAGCUCAGGGACAAACUCUGUGACUGAGCUGCUGUUGUUGUUCUGCACAUGUAUGGAGGUCAAUCUGUGCCAUCUGAUUCUGAAUUUCUAAAGCUCAUUUUUUUUGUAUCAAAAUCAGACUUUGAAUUUUAAAACCACCGAAUUUCAAGCACGCAUUUUUAUUUCUGAUGCUAAUUUUUUCACGAUGAUGAAAUAAAUUCAGAGUAAAAAAAAAAAAGGUCUCUUAAAAUAUUCAUUUAGUAAAAAUUGGACUUGAAAAAACCUGUGCAAAAAAAAAAUAAGUGUAAAAGAGAGCGACUUAACAUCUGGGUGACCAGGGAGAAGCGAUCGAUUCAAUCUUCCACUGGGUGUCACAUGACCAAACUCGCAUUAUUUGAUUGGCUGGACGAUGGCUGAUUGAGCCGGGAAUCCAUUGCUUCUCCCUGGUUACCUGGACGUUGAGUCGGUCUCUUUUACACCAAAGUAUUUGACACUGAAUCUUUUUAUGUUGAAAUUUUUUUUAAGUCGAAUUUUUAAGAAACAAAUAUUUUGAGAGACCGAUUUUUUUUACACUGAAUUUAUAUCAUCAUUGUGAAAGUAAAUUUGAUGGCUUUGAAAUUCAAAGUCUGAUUUUGAUGCAAAAAAAUUUUAGCUUUAGAAUUUUUAAAAAUUUAAAAUCAGAUGGCACAGAUUUACUUCCAUACACAAGCAUACUGUGACCACCAACAUGAUGGUCUGAUGAGAAGAAGAAGAAGAAGAAGACAGAGGUCUCUUAGAUCUGCACCAAACUCAAACAGAGACAGAGGAACAUCUUCUGAUCCAUCACUAUCCAAGACUUUCAUUUAUCCAGAGUCAGCUCUCUAAAAAAAUCACAUUUCAAUGAUUUUACUCGUGUAAAAAACCAAACAGACGUGUGCAGAGAUCACUCAGAGUAAAAAUAACUCCUUUGCUUUCUGACUCGUAUGCUAACAGAUAUGAUGUGUGGAUAGAGCCGCCUGCCUACAUCAGCGCGGUUUCUCAUGUUUCACCAGCUUCCAAUGAGAUAAGAGGAAUUUCAUCUGUAUGCUGCAACAACCUGAACCAGACUGCAAUCCUGCAGACGACACGGCUCUGCUCUGCUGUCACCGUCAGGAAAACCUUUACGCUGUUGACAUUUCCUUUACUUUUAUCAGAACCUCACGAUCAUCUCGCUUCUAGAUCGGCUCAAUUAUGUUCCUGACAAGCUCACAGACGUGGAGCACACGGCGGUACACAGCAGAGUUUCUGCAGCAGCAGCAGCAGCAGCUCUGAAACUGCUCAUGUGUUUAACACCGAGUCUGUGCAGAGACGAGAAACCAAAGACUGACUCUCACCCUGAGCUUUAAAAUAAGAAUCAGUUCAAACGUCAGAAAGAAACGAUCAAAUCUUCUGCAGCAGGAAACACAGAAGAGUCAGGGAGGAUGAAGCGUGAACGAGGAUGACGAACCUGAUGGAUUCAUUUUACUUUGAUUUAAAGAAGCUGAAAUAAAAACAUGUUUGUGCAGAAAUUUGACUCCAGAUGUUGACCUGUGGUGGUAAAAUAAUGAUGGUGCACUGACACCAUCAUAGAAGUGUUGAGCAGAUCUCUUUGUGUGUAAUAUGGAGGUUUUUUAUUCAGAUCUUUGUACAUAUCUUUGAUCUAAUUUGUGAAGAAGGGUCAGGACUUGAUAAACUCUUUGUCAAAAUAAACAGUUUAAAAGAAACAGGAUGAAACAAACAUAAGUUUUUAUAAAUUUAUCUUUGUCAUGUACAGUUGUUCGGUGUACAGAUGUAUUAUUUUGUUUGGUGUUUUGUUGUUACUUGUUGAGGAUGAUCUCCAUCCUUUGGUCUGUUGUCGUUGCUCCACGUUCAGCUGAAGGAUCGUACAGGUGGUCCCCGUCAGUCUCUCUGGUUUUACUCUAACAUGCGUCCUGCAGCAGCGUGGAUUUCCUAACUCAGAGCUGAUGCAUGUUUCCUCGUUUGGAUCUAAAUCAAGUUACUUCAUAUUUUUCUGGUGAAUAUUGAUCGGGGUUUUCUCGCUCUAAAUCAGCAGCUCAUUAAGUUUGACGGCAGGUCUGUCCUUGUUUUGUUAUUUUAUGGGUCUGAUCAGCAGAGUGAGAUUCAGCUCAAAGGGCGGACUUUUCCCACUUGGCAGGUCGCCUGGAGUCUCCAUAUUCAAUCAUGUACAGCAGAGAGAGAGAGAGAGAGAGAGAGAAAGAGAGAGAGAGACAGAGAGAGAGAGAGAGAAAGAGAGAGAGAGAGAGAGAGAGAGAGAGAGAGAGAGAGAGAGAGAGAGAGAGAGAGAGAGAGAGAGAGAGAGAGAGAGAGAGAGAGAGAAAGAGAGAGAGAGACAGAGAGAGAGAGAGACAGACCACCGCAGGAAAUAAAUGUCCAGGUUAUUAGGCUGAGGCUCAGAUGUCGGUCUCUUUUCAGGCUGGAGGUGGAGGGACUUUAGAAACCAAAUUCAGACUCAUGGACCAAUGAGGAGGAGAUGGAGUCUCUGCUGCUUUGGUCGGUUUACAGAAUUGAAUAAAAGAGAGGUGUCUUUAUGCAGCUUAGCAAAUAAUAAUAAUGACCGCUGUGAAAAUGUUGAUUUCUGAAUCUUUUCAUUACUGCACAAACAGUCGACACAGAAGCUUAUAGAUGAACUUUAAACAAAUUUGGAAAAUGAAGAACAAGCAGUCAGUUCCAAUUAAAUUCCGAUAUAAUGCAGAUAAAUACUUCAGAUCAUUACAAAUGGGGCCCAGUCAAGGUGAAAGUCAAAAGCAUUGGUGCUACUGUAGAUGCCAACAGACUACCAGCAAACACAAUGUUUGCAGGACUUCUACAACGAGGAUAAAGUGACAUAGUCCAGGACCCGAGGGAGGACAGUUUAGCGAUGGCGCUACAACACGCUACAGCAGGUCCGUUUGACAAGAAACACUUCUGUUACAGACACUUGUCUUACUUUGUUAAAGCGGUUUACCUGUCCAGCAGAAAGGUUACAGGGUCACCAAGAUCCCCAAGCGUCCCCCAUGGUUUAUGUUGACCCGUCUUUUUAGCUCUUGUCCGGUCUACCUCCGUUUUAAGCGCCCGUUAUUCCUCCAGAGUCUCCGGUAUUUACUUUGUUUUCUUGCUUGUGUCGGCAGUCGUGGCCAAAGGAGGAUUCAGACAAUUUUCCGAACUUUCUGGUUGGUUUCUACUGUCCGAUAUUGUAGCACGCUAACUUUGUUUGGGCUCCUGAACGACACGGGGGAGCAGCGUCUGCCUCACAACCAAUCAGGUUAGAGGAGGUGGAGAACGGCUUUGUUUACAGUCAGAAAGAGCGGACCGCUCACAACAUUCAUCAUCCCAAGACGCCUGAUGAAUGAGUUUGAACUCGUCAUCAUAAUGAGGACAGAAAGAAGACGACAGGAUCCACUCCUGCAGUGAAGUUGAAGAAUGAGAAAUCUAUGAUAAUCAAUCAUGAUAUUGAUAAUCUCAGAGCUCAUCUCUGUCUGCUGAGUUUAAAUCUGUUUGUGUUUCUCGUCUCUAAAUCUAACCGCUCACUUUACAGUGUCCUCUUAUCGGUUUCAGUCGCUCGCUCUGUAAUCAUGCGCCGCAGCUGUACUUCACAUCGAGAGGUUAAGUGCAGAAAAAUCCUCACAUAUAACCUGAACACACACACACACACACACACACACACACACACACACACACACAGACACACACACACACAGGUUCUCAUCAACAGCCUCUCAGUUUAAGGGUCAAUAGAAACUCUCACUUCGAGCUCGUUUGGGUGUCACAGGUGUCUCGGUGUCUCAGCGUGUCAGCGGCGAGGAUGAUAAUCAGCUCACAGUCAUUCGGCUCACAGAGCGCCCUGGCUCCUCGCCGCCUAACCUGCUGCCAGACGUCCAUUCAUCAAUCAGCCUCUCAUGGCAAAACAAGCUCAGAGCGCAGAGGUGAGAGGAAAACAGGCCCCACCGGGUACACACUCAUCAUCGCUGACACACACACACACACACACACACACACACACACACACACACACACACACACACACACACACACACACAGGAGAGGAGACAGGGGUUCAGAUCUGUGCAGGUUUCUAUGAUGAAUGUCACUGUAGACAAAGAUCCCACUGAGUCUGCUCAGUGUUCAGGUUCAAACUUCGCUGUUUGUCAAAACUACAGACAGAAUAAAACAUGACUGUGAAGUUUUUCAAUGGAGGUCACUGUGGGGGACACGAAAACUCAACCCAACUUUCAGGUGACCUAUCAGAGAGCAGAGAGGUGGAUUGGAGGCGGUCCUUUCCCCCACAGCGUCACCGUUUCAGAUGCUGUGGAAAUCCCGGGUUAAAGACCCACUCCGAUGAAAAUCAUGUUUUUCUUGUUGUCUACAUGUUCAUUUUUUUCCUGAUGCUAUAGGAAAUAUCAUGAGAAAACUAAGUGUGAAACUGUAAACAGCAGACUCAGACACGGUGAGAUUUCUUAUGUCACAGUUCCAAGCUCCGCCCCCGGAGCCUUGCUAUGCAGACCAGACUCAGAGAAACAGAGAGGACGAUCACAGAACAAGCGUGUGCGUUAGCGGAUUGCAAUGCUUGUAAGAAAGCUAAUUAUGAUAUUAACUUUCAUCAUGUCAGAGCUGAAUAACUCCUAUGUUACCUGCCACUUCUACGACACCAGCAAUUUUAGGCUACAAGCUAACGUGGAGGGGAGUGUGCAGAGCAGCACUGACUCCGCCCACAACUCAGAGGUGAAUUACUAAUGAGCUACUAGAGCUCUGCAGAAGAAAAGACCAUGAAUAAUGACACAGGUAACGUGAUUUAGGCUAAAAACUUCAUAAUCACAAUUUAAUGACCACUGAGAAGACUUUUAAAAAAUGAUCAGAGUGGGAUUUAAACUCCUUAUAGGACCUUUAGACCCCCGAGGAUAAAGCAGUCUUCACUUAUUUUGUCUUUCACGUUAAAACAGAAAUCUAAAUCUUCUGUCACUUAAUGGUUAAUUUAUUAUAAAUAUAUAAAAACAGGUCUGUACACUGGUCUCAGGCAUUUAACAUGAACAGACAUAUAAACUUGAUGUGCUGUUAGAUGUAAAUGAAACAAUUCAGAAUUUGAUUUAUGUAAUAAUAUUAAUAAUCCAAAUGUAAUAAAGAUUUAUGUGUGUGAUGUUUCUGUCUCAAAAAUUUUAACUAAAUGAAUCUCAGUUUAUCAUAUUUAGACCGUAUUCUUACAUAUUAACGGAAUAAAUUUAAUUGUUUUAAAAAUUACAGAUUUAUUCAGAUUUUAAGAAGUUUGAAUAAAUGAAUAAAAAAAAGUUAUAAUUUAAAUAAAAUGUAAAUACUAAAAAUAAACCCUGUCAUGAUUAAUUUUUCUGAGUGUAUGAAAAUCGUCAUGUUUUCUCUGGAUACUGUGAAAAUCUCUAUAAACAGAAACUGGUGUCGAGUUUGUGACUGAUGAACUGUGGAGGGUCUCGCUCCCCUUUAACAUCAUUAAUUAAAACUCAGAUAAUAAUUUGAAAUGAGGUGAUUAGUCUGUAUGUUGAUUGUAAAUCUUUUUUUAUGCAAAUGAAGCAGGAAUUAAAAACUCUGACACUCUCAUGUUUGCUUUGAAUCUUAACGACGAGGUUCACAGCUGACUGUAAAUAAAUCAGAAUAAUCCUGAUCCAGAGUUUGUCCUGAGUGUUUGAGACAUGAGAGACAUGAGAAUCUGUUUGAUGAGGUGUGAUAGUCAGAGAGGAUUAGCAGGAACAUCUCGUCAUAAACAGCCGUACGUCUGAAACAUCUGCCUGACCUCAGAUAAAACCUCAUAUAACAGAGGAGAUGAGUUCUCAGGUUAUCUCUCCCUGCAGGUUCAUGGAUUAGGUCCGCUCAGCUGACAUGAAACUUCCAUGAGGUGAAGAUCCCACCUGCAUGAGGAAAUGAUCGUUCGCCUUAACCUUCAAAAUGAUCCUUUAAUGACAUUUCCUUUCUGUUUGAUCAGUUAUGAAAGCGACUUGAUGGCGACUUCGCCCGAGGAAGGAAUCAUGCAGGACACGCAGCAGGCAAUUAGCGCAUCUCUCUUAAUCGCUCUGCAGCCGUUUAACACUCAUUACUGAGACAGAUUUUCUCUGAUUCAUCACUUCACUGUGUGAUUUACCACCACUCAGUUGUCAGGCAAGAAUUCAUUACACCAUCAGCAUGCAAAUAAAGCAUCAAUAUGCAGAACGGCGCCGCGGUUAGACGGUCAUUUGGUUAAUUGAGUCACUUUGUUUGAGGAGAGGAUUAGCAUGUGAGCUAAUCAAGGUGGAUCUUCACAGCAGCAGCAGCAGCACCUGCCUCACACAGACGGAGGGUAAAUGUCAGCAGCACAGAGUUUUUCAGUCCGCUCUCAAGUGACAGAGUUUAAUGAAUUCAACGAGUGAACACCGAGGCCCCGCUGCACAGGAGGUCAGGUGUGUUUAGAGAACAUCUACAGUCACAGCUCUGCGCUCCGCUGAUGCUUUUAAUGACGGGAGGAAAUGAACACGCAGGAUUCAAGCAGCUGGAAAAAGCAGAUCAGUGGGAAACUCCUCCCACAGCAGAAUAACACAGAUCUGAUUUAAUAUAUUUAUUUAUUAUCACACAAAUAACUGACAGGGUGAAUAAAUGAGAUUAAAGUCAUGGCCUGGAUUGCAGGACAGGAUGUGGCUCAACUUUUCCCAAUAGUAGACGGUCAAAGUCAGGCUGCUCUCAUAUCUGUGCCUGCUGCUUUUAUUUUCCUGCUCUAUAAUAUAAUAUAAUGUAAUAUAAUUAAAUUAGGGUAAUGCAAGAAAAUCUUCAGCUCGACAAAAAUAAGAGAAAAGGCGAAAAAGGUGAACGGUACGAAAGAGGAUUAGUGACACAAGAAAAGGAAAAGUAAUCACAGGAGGGAGAUUUUUUUAAUUUACGUUUUGAGAUUAAAGUCAAAAUUUUUAAAAAGUCGAAAUGAAAAAAAUUGAAAUUUCAAGAUAAAAGACGAAAUUUUAAAAAGUCAAAAUGAAAAAAAUAAAAAUUUCCAGAUUAAAGUGAAAAUUUGAAAAAAGUCAAGUGAAAAAAUUCCAAAUUUCAAGAUUAAAGUCAAAAUUUCGAGAAAAAAAAUCAUAAUAAACUAAUCACCAACAAUAAUAAAGUCCUUUUAUUCUAACCUUCUGUUUCAAAUGACAGUUGUUAGAAUGAGACACGUGGAGCAUUUGUUGAAAAUGUACUUUUAUAUUUGUUUCUCAAACAAGGAGAUUUUUGAUCUUUUGGCACAUCAGCACCACAUUAUCAUAACUAUAGUAGUAAUAGUUUAGUACGACUUCAUUCUCGUUGGUAAUGACUUUAUUCUAGUAAAUUAACUUUAAUCUCAAAGUCUUUAUUUAUUUUGAUUUUAAUGUGGCCCUAAUACUCGGUUGUACACUGUCCACUCACUCACCAGGCUGCUCUCACAUCUGCCUGCCGUUAUUAUUUGCUGUUAUAAUAUAAUGUAGUAUAAUUAAAUUUGGUUAAUGCAAGAAAAUCUUCAGCUCGACAAAAACCAGAGAAAGGCUGUAACAGGGUGAGCGGUUACUACUCUCACAUUUUCAGUGUCAAACUAACCAUCUGUGCAGUGAGGCGGUAAACAAAGGAAUAUACUGUGGACUGUUCAUGUUGUUUUCACGACUCUCAAACUCUCCGAUCUGUAUGUUCAUCAGAGCGCCAACACGCUCAGCUCUGCUCUCCUGAAGGCAUCCAUGUAGAGAGAGAUGAGAGCUGCAGCAGCAGCACAGGUUCACACAUUCAGGGAUCAGGAUGUACAGAAACAGACGUGAUUACCAUCAUCAUCGUCAUUACACAGGGGAGGAGAGGAGGACAGAGCAGCAAGUUUACGGGUCGAAAUACACGCAGGCUUCUGAACACGUGUGCAGGAUGGAUUCACACCAGUGCACAACUGAUCCAACAAACAACAACAACAGGAUAAGCCUGUUUUUGUCCUGAUACAGAGGAAGAAAGUCCAAACGGAUCACAACAGCAUGAAGAACAGAUCCGUUAUCCUGUGAGAGGGAUUUAGAGCUGCUGACCUACACGUAGGGCUGGGUGAUAAAACAAUUACGAUAUAUCCUACUGAGCAUCUUUUGGUCUAAAAGAGGUCUAAUAGACGUCUAAAUGAAGCCGACUGGUCUAUAAUCAGACUACCACAACUUUAAGAAUGAAAGAUUUUUAGACGUCUAAAUUUAGACCAAGUUUAGACUAAAUCUAAAUCUGGGCUUUAUCUAUACUACACUGUAUUUUGCUUAACUGCUAUCCUAAUUAUUUUGGUUAAGUUAUGAAACUCACAGUUGCUUUUUGAAAUACAUAGUUAUUGAAUUAGGGGUUAAGGUGCAACGUCUGAAUUACGUCUAAAUAUAUACAGAAUCUAAACGGUUGAAAUUAGGUCUAAAAAAAAUUAGCCGUCUAAUACCUGUUUAUUGCUCAGUGGGAUAUUGAAACUUAAUUUCCCUCAAUAUCGAUAUAAAAUAUGAUCAAUACUCUUUUCAGCUGUCGUCAUUCUGUCAUGUUUUGGUCGACUAUACAAACAGCCAAUGAAAAGGGGAGUUUCUCCGGGUCUGAACCAAUCAUGUUCUGAAUUAGAACCAAGUAUCAACCAACUGCGUCGUAGCAGACAGAAAUGACCAUGAAUGCUCAACAGAUGACCACAUCGUCAACACUGGCGUUACGAAAUGCAAAAGGUUACAAACCCCGAGAGGAGCGAGGAGCCCAUGGCGCCUGAAACAGACGACCAUUCAGUCGGCUUUCUCUAGAGCAACGCCUUACGACAAAACAUCAAACUUAAUGUAUUACAACAGACAUGCUACCGAUAAACACUGUUACACUUCAUUUUUUAUAUUGUGAUAUUGAUCAAUAUCAGCUGAUAUGAAAAAAACAUCGUGAUCGUGAUAAACUCCCAUAUCGCCCAGCCCUACCUACACACGGACACGGACAGGAUGGAUGUCUGUAGGAAACCACAGACCCCUAAACUCAUCCACCCUAACAUAAACAGUCCCUGUAUAUACAGUACACACACACACACACACACACACACACACACACACACAGAAGCUGAGGGGGUGAAGGUGCACUGAGUGAUGGUGUGAGAGCGCCCUGUGAACGCUCUGCACCGUCUCCCCCAUCCCUCAGAUUCUCACUCCGAUAACAUCCAGAACAUUAAACAGCCAUCUGCAGGAGACAUCAUCACUUCCACAGACACUCGAGCUUUCAGAGAAUCAUCUACAGAGAGAAACUCCACAGAGCAGCCGGAGACACACGAGAACAUCUCAACAACGUUGUCCUCUACAUGUUUGAAAAGUCCUCCAGUUAUUUCAGUGACCGUCUGCUGUUUUAACAACAGUCCACCAGACUGACCUGAACUCGGCCAACAGAGAACGCCGGGCUCACUUAGCUGGCACAACUUUUACUGGACAUCCUGUCAAUAUGAGGAACGAGGCUCUUUAUUCUGCUUUUAUUUUGUAGGUCUUCAGAGAGGAAAUUGAACUCUGGACUGUAAAAAUACUUGAAAAUAAAACACUCCCUCCUUUCCUGCCAAAACUGCACUUUACAAACCCAGAGGAGGAACAACAAACAAACAAACAAAGAGAGCUUUCUGGACGAGCCGAGGCCGUUUUAGUGUCCAUCUGCUGUUUGUUUGUGUGAACGCUGAGAGACGAGAUACUUCAUUUUCUGUUUAUGGUGUGUGUUUGAUAUGAACGUGUAUAAAUGAACGUACUGUUGACAGAAAAAACACUGAACUCCGACAUGAACACUCUCCUAUUUUAAACACAGUUACAGAUUAAUAAUCUCCGUUAUUGAUCAUCUGUCCUGUCUGUCAACGCUGAGGGAGGAGGAGCGCUGGAGGAUGUUUAAAGCUAAUUUAUCAUUUAAAAAUGAUCUCUGCAUUUAUAUAAUGGAUAAUAAUGUUUAUUUCACUGUGAUCUGCAUCCUGAAAUGUCUUUAGAUGACACAGACACACAGUUUAACAUCAUUUUGAACAGACAACAACAGAAUAACUGAUUUUACUUUGUCCUCAGAGUAAAAUGGAAAUAAAUCAGGAAUCAUUUAAACUCUGUUUUUAACAGAAAAUAGGUGCAGUAUUUGUUUUUAAUGGAGGUGGGGUAGGCAGGAAUCCAUUAAAGAAGCAUCUUUUCUUUUUGUGGUGUAUAAACAAAACAUCUUUAAUAUCAGUCAAUAGUUAUUAGUUAUUCUCCACCUCCUCUAACCUGAUUGGUUGUGAGGCAGACGCUGCUCCCCCGUGUCGUUCAGGAGCCCAAACAAAGUUAGCGUGCUACAAUAUCGGACAGUAGAAACCAACCAGAAAGUUCGGAAAAUUGUCUGAAUCCUCCUUUGGCCACGACUGCCGACACAAGCAAGAAAACAAAGUAAAUACCGGAGACUCUGGAGGAAUAACGGGCGCUUAAAACGGAGGUAGACCGGACAAGAGCUAAAAAGCCGGGUCAACAUAAACGAUGGGGGACGCUUGGGGAUCUUGGUGACCCUGUAACCUUUCUGCUGGACAGGUAAACCGCUUUAACAAAGUAAGACAAGUGUCUGUAACAGAAGUGUUUCUUGUCAAACGGACCUGCUGUAGCGUGUUGUAGCUCCAUCGCUAAACUGUCCUCCCUCGGGUCCUGGACUAUGUCACUUUAUCCUCG